rnacentral:rRNA from 1 species
UACGUAGGGUGCAAGCGUUGUCCGGAAUUAUUGGGCGUAAAGAGCUCGUAGGCGGUUUGUCGCGUCUGCUGUGAAAACUCGGGGCUUAACUCCGGGCCUGCAGUGGGUACGGGCAGACUAGAGUGCGGUAGGGGAGACUGGAAUUCCUGGUGUAGCGGUGAAAUGCGCAGAUAUCAGGAGGAACACCAGUGGCGAAGGCGGCUCUCUGGACCUCUGCUGACGCUGAGGCGCGAAAGCGUGGGGAGCGAUCCGG